UAGAAAGAUGGGACACGACCCCACACCAAAAGACUCAAAAUCUUUAGCACUCCAUUAUACUACUUCCU
rnacentral:tRNA from 1 species